AGGAAUGAUGUUGACGGCGAUGCAAAUAUCAUAACAGCAGUCACAGGUUCAGAGGCUUGCUACAGGAAUUCCGACCCAAUAUCCGGAAUGAGAAACUACACCAAGGUGGAAUAGGGGCAUACGGCUUUGCUUAUGUGGGUUGUGCCAAUAUGUCAACUUAUUCGGAGUAGCCAUUGGCUACACCAUCAUAGCAUCCAUAAGUGCUGCGUAAGCUCAUGGUACUCUUGUGCAAGGACAAAGCAUUCAGUGAUCUACUAAACCUUCCCAAAUUCCAGAGAAUGUAGUUGUCAGGGACCUUGACGAGUUCUUAGAACAUGUUUCCUGAUGCAUGGACGCAGGGCGGUGAGCAAGUCCAAUUGUUUCCACAAGAGGGGCCGUUAUGCUGAUUUCGGUGUCUCCGCCAGUCUCUACAUGGUCGUGUUUGGGAUCGUUCAGAUAUUAUUCACAACUGCCCAACUUUUUCAUAAGCUGCGGUGGCUGUUCAUCAUCGCUGCAGUCGUGUCCCUUGGCUUACUCCCUCAUCGCAGUGGUUCUCUCAGCAGCCAGAGUAAUUUCAGCACAAACAAGUUGCUCGAUAAUCUGAAUCAAACCUGUGUCCUCAACAAGUGAUGCUGGAAAAGCCUUGCUGCAGGAACAGAAGUUGGCGUGGAUGUUGAUUCAGCUCAGAAAGCUCGAAACGCAUUAAAACCGCUUGGAGAUAUUGCCUGUUCCCAUUCAUAUUCCGUGAUUCUAUAAUAGAAAUCCAGGUAGGGCAACUGCUGGCCUGCAGAAAAACACCCCGUGUCUCUUUCAGAAAACUAUUCAUGACCCAGAUAGCUAUAAUCAAGUGAUCGACUCCCCUGGCCUGCACAAAAACACCCCGCGUCUCUUUCAGAAAACUAUUCAUGACCCGGAUAACUAUCAUCCCUAUGGAUCUUUUAGGACACUGUGAGAUCCCCCCAGCAGAGAACAACGUGAUGAUGACGAAGGCAAGCCUGAUUGGUGUGUCGACGGCCGCAGCAUUCUACAUCCUUUUUGGCUGCCUUGGUUAUGCUGCGUUUGGGAACCAAGCUCCAGGG